CUCCCCCCCCCCCUCUCUCUCUCUCUCUCUCUCUCUCUCUCGCUCUCGCUCUCUUUGCCUGUGCUCUCCUCUCCUCAGCCGCGCGAUGUGGCGCGGCGCGGCGCGACGGCGGUUAGUAUUUCGCUUUUUGCCGGCAUUGUAAUCAAGGAAGGGUUAGGUGAGUUUUUGUCGCCCUGCCGCGCGCCACCCCUUCGCGUCCUUCCUCUCCUCCUCGGACAAAACACCGGGCAGAUGGACUGACUCGCCGUUCGAAUCUUUCCCUCCUCCUCCCCGAACUCCUUCCCGUAUAUCCUUCGCGCUUCUCCGUUCCUUCGGCCUUGUUCUCCUUAUCCUUCGCGUCCUUUUACCCCGCUUCGCCAUAGCGAAGCGCAGCCCCCCUUUACACACCGAGACUCUUCUUUUUAUACUUUGUGCCACUUUGCACCACCGCUCGUGCGCGCCUGUCGUUUCUUCGCCCCCCCCCCCCUUCAUCCUGUCACCCUUUUCCUCUCACGCUUUCUCUGUCCCUUCUGUUUCUCGUAGUACGUGUCGUUGUUCGGUUUCUAAUCUUCUCUCUUUCUUUCUUUCUUACUUUCUUGACUCUCCCUCAUCGCUUCGUCAAGCCGCGCCAAAAAUCCCCUCAGGACGAUCGACGAGCGACUCACCCUCGAAAGAGCGUUUGAGAAAAAGCGAGUUUUUCGCUCGAUCAGCGAGAAAAAGACGAGAAAACGUCGGAAUGAUAAAGGAAGCAUGAGUAAAGAAAAGGAAAACCGCUGUCCUAGUUAUGAAUUAAAUGGUCUUCGAAUGGGAAUCGUUUAAAAUCGUCAUUGGUAUUGGUCGGGUAAGUGAUCUCAAGUCCCAAGGGUGCAGCCCAUAUCCCAACCCCUCGAUGAGGGGUUAAGCCCUACCUCAUGUCGCAGUUCUCCGUUUGCCGUUGAGCGGCCGCCCGAUCGAAUUAUUACGAGGGUACAAUUCGCGCCAUUUUAAGGACACCAUUGUGAUUCGACGUUCACCCAAAAUUAAGUGGACGAGCAGCUCAUCACCUGCGGGAACUAAUCGACGUGUCCAUUGUCAUCGUUAAUCUGUAUCUACACCUGUACUCGACUAAGCGACAUAGAUCGCCUCGUAUCGCCGUUCACGCACGUUUUCUCCGUAAACUAACUUAGAAUGCGUCACUAAUUACAAAUCGAUCACUGACCGAGUUAAGAACACAUGUCUCCAAAAGUUAAAACCGAAAACCAAAUAGAAAUAGUAUGACACGUGUCACAGUCCGGUCAAGAAAUAAACGUAGAAUUAAUAUCGAGAUAAAUGUGACGUAAUUUCCGACAAUUAAUUAAAAUUAACGUGAUCUCUCCGGUAACAGAUAUCUGAUUUCUGCGAUAAAAAAUUAUUAUGGACAUUUCUCGAGGAGAAAUGGCGAGAGGAUCCCUUGCCGCGAUAUCAGCCGCGUCACCUGGAGGAAGUGACUGAUCGUGGGAUACUCCAGAAAGAUAACUCGUCCUUCGCCCCGACGUGAGCGCGUAAUGUCUUCGCGUGUGAGUCAUGCAGAUCGAACGGCCCCGAAGAUAGAACGUAGAGAAAAAGUUGCCCCCGUCGCAGUCGUCGCCGUCGCGAGGGCCCCCACGGCGGCAAAAAAGCCGAAAGAACGUCCUCCACGGGGCCAGCAAAAACUCGCUGGGAAUGGAGCGGAGAGGAGGCAGCCAGUGCCGCACGCCGGAAUUCCUCCCGAGGUCUCUUUCCAUCGCUUUUUUUUCCCCCUCCCCCUCCUCUCCGCACUCAUCCUUUCCUUCUUCCACAGCCGGUUCUCCUUUUUUUCCCCUUUCCUCCUCGCUAUCUCGUACCGAGGGACGAUGAUAUGCAUAUGCGUGCGAGCAAGGAGGAAAAGACGACGAGAGAAAGAGAGAGGGAAAGUCCGCGGGGUCAUCGGGGGUUCGGAUGGACCCUCCCCCCUUCGCCUCCUCCCCCGCCGAAAACAGAUACGGACAGGCGCGGGCGCAUCCGAGCAUCGCCCUGCCGGAUUAUCGCUUAGAACAAAAAAAUGCAGACAAACGGGGAGGCUCGUCGUCGUCGCCCUUUGUCCGCCGCGCCGACGUGGGGUGUGCGGAAGCUGAGGCCCGCAAGCCUUUUAAUUUAUUCGCGCGCCUCGACGCGCACUCCUGUGGGAACCACGGCGGAUCCAAGAAACGGAAAAAAAAAGAGGAACGAGACAAGGCGCCGAUGAGAAUAAGGGAUGAUCGUUACCUGACAUUAGCAUAUGCGUGAAACGAUCGUAGAUCGUGUUUCUCGCGCUCAUUGUUACAGUCGAUCGAACUUUAGGAUUAUAUAUAUAAUUGAUUUAAUCUCACGUUAUUCCAUUAUCUUUUUAUCGGUAUUCGCAAAUAUACAAAAAAUUCCAAUACAAACUAGAAAGUAAGGCUAUUUUUUUCCUAAAAUCAACGACAUUAAAACUGAAGUCAAGUUGAAAGUGAAAUUUGUGCUCUUUUACUGAUUGUAGCUACAAGUAAUAUAAAAAUUAAUCAUUUUCCAUCAUUUAAAAAAAGAAGUCAAAUAUUUUAGUUUUAUUAAUGAUAAUCUAAUGGUUACAAAAAUGACAACUUGAUUACAUAAAUAAAGCAGUAACUAUAUCAGAAUUUUAUAUAAUUUCGAUAAAAAAUUACUAAACAAUGAGACACAAAUCCUAAUCCAUCUCAUCCAAAUAAUAUUCUGAUAAUGUUAGAACUAAUAAUUAUCAAAAUUAUAGAAAAGAUAAGUAAAGUAACUGAAUAAAUAAGUGCUCUGUAUCAGCGUAUAUUGUUUUCUUUUCAUUGUCAAGUUUAAGUGACACAAUUUCGACACAACUCCAAAGAGGGUAGACAGAAUUUAAAUUUCAUCGAUUAAAGUAUGAAUUCCAGAUAACAGCUGAUAAAAAAAAAACAGAACCGAGAUGGGGUUUCUAGAGUCGCUCGCCCGGCAGAUGAAGCCUUCUCCAAAGGGUGAAAAAACCUCGUGGCUCUUUCUCUCUCUCUCUCUCUCUCUCAACGGUCAGCGGCAAGAUGUACAAACGGAGGCGCACCGUUCUCUCUCGUCUUUGUACCCCGAGACGCAAAACCCAUUCAUACUCGUUGCUCGAAUUAGGCGCUUAUUCGAGUGCAGCCACCCACCGGUCGUACCCGGGUACCCCGGUGAUCGUAUUCAGAUUAGGCUCUCUCUACGGAGAACUCUUCCUUCUUUUUUUUUUUUUUUAUUUCAGAUCGCGGCGGUCGUCCGUCCACCGGGCGUGAACGCACACAAAACCCAGGGCGAUUCGAUCGGGAGGAAAACUCGGGUGUAAGCAGCUGCGGUCCUCCUUCCCUCCCCCCCCCCCCCCCGGUUGCGCAAAGCUGUGAGCACGCGUUAUUAUCAUGUCACGUUGCUGGCUUCAUCGUCGCAUUGCGCCAAUAAAAUCAAAUAACGCAUCUUAAAAUGCGCUACGAGUAAAUUCGUUGCAUGCUCGAAGCAACAAACGGUGAAACGUUUCCCUUAUAAUCGCAUAUGUACUUUUAGAACUAGGGCACACAAAAAAAAAUUGCUAAACUGUACUUCAUUUCCUUACAGUUGCAUACGUUUUACCGCUUAAGUUUUGUGGGUAUGUGUGUGUCUUUGGUCCUUCUUUGUCUUUGUUUUUUAAGAAGCAACUCGGAUUUUUCAAAAACGCAUAAAACAUAAUUUUUGUGUUAGCAGAGAAUAUGCUAAUAAAUUUGACUUCAAAUCUUUCUUCUUAUUCUUUUUCUUUUCCUUUCUUACUUCAAUUCUUUCAAGACGCGCAAAAGAUCGUUUGGCAGAUAGCCGAUUAUUUCAAACUAUGUAUUUCAAACUUUUCCAGAACUGCAUGACAAUUAAUAGUUAAGAGUUUGCGUAAAUAUAAAAUAUGGAUGUUUACUUUUUAAAUAGCCCCGUGCCCAUUAAGCGCACGAGCGUGAGGAGAGGUCUCGGGGCAAUAUGAGAGAGACGCAACCGAGGAAACGGAUUACAAAAUCGCCGGUGCGCGGACGCUAUUAGGCCGAGACAGUUAUUGCCGCGCGGACAAAACUGGGCUGUAAAGCGGCAAACGAUAAGGUGAAAAUAUUAAUGACCGCCGCGAGACCGAGCGUCCGUAAUGAGUGCAAUAAUGCAUGCGCCCGACGUGCACUCGACGCGGGGUCGUGCCUAUACAUAUGCUGAAGCAAGUCGCCGGAGAUUUUCGAGCAUAAAUAAAACACAAUGCAGCCGGGCGUCUGUCGUUAAACGUUUUGAGUUACGAUUUUACGCUUCGCCAAAAACGUUUCGUAAAUACCCGGAGAAAAGUCCGAUAAUAAGUUUCCGAUUGUGGAACUUGAGCUAUCCGGCAAGUGCGCGCGCGUAUGCAAGACAGUCGUAAUGCAAAAAUACGCCGCGCUUUUCUCCAGCUUGAUUUGAAUUUUACAAGUACGCACACUCAGAUAUCUAACAUAUUGCAGCAUAAUUUUUAAGCCCGUAUUCAAGACCGCGCGAAAAUAACGGAAGAAUCGUUUAUUUUUUUUUCUUUUUUGCGGCGGGACACCAUUAAUUAUUUUCUUCGAGAUAUCUCUGAGAUAAAAGUCUUGACGCGUCGCGACGCCAGCGUCGAAGGUAAAAUAUCUCGAUGCAAAAGGUACAACGCAAUUAAGAAUAUGCAGAGACGAGUUCUUGACGCGAUUAACCGCGCCGCGCGCGUUUGACUUUGUUCUUUUUCUCCUUUUUAUAUAGGAAUCCGCGUGCAUCAGCGGCGCAAAUUUUCCGACGUUGUAAUACAUAACGCAAAAGAGGAAGAGGGAGAGGACAGACAGAGAGAGCGAGAGAGAGAGAGAGAGAGGGAGGGAGAGGGAGAGAAUGCGAACAUGCAAGAGCCGGCUCUCUCUUUCUCGCAUCGCAAAAAAGCUACGCUCGCCAAGUUUUCUUAAGCGAGGGCACGAGCACACGGCAAACUUACCGGCAAAAAAGCCCGAGCUUUUUCGCCGUGCAUCAGCGCCAGCGCCGUCAUCAAUAGAUAGAUAGAGAAAGGGAAGACAGAGGGAGAUAGAUAGAGUGAGAGCCUCUUUUUAUCCCGUGUAAAAUGUAUAAUGUCGCCUAUCAAACAGCCGCGCGGUAAUAACGCGCGUGUUACGGUAACUUCGGCCUGCCCGGUCGCGCUCGAAAGGUCCGUUCAUCGAAAAUAAUGUGACAGAAAUUAUCCGGAUAAUAUGUUUGCAAACUUAAUGUAAUAUAAUUGAAUGUUUAGCAUUGCAAAAAGUGACGUGUAAUAAAAUCAUUAAAGUAAUUGAUGACUUUUACUUAGAAAUAACGUGAGAAAAAAGAGAGAGAGAGAGAGAGAGAGAAA